GUUUUGAGCAAUAAAGGGAAAAGCAGGGUGCUGCUAUAGUGAGAAGUGUCGGUGGAAGGAACUGCAGUUCUCACUCUCUCUCUCUCUCGUCCGAAACCAUCCAAGAACAGAGCAUUUACUCUCCAAGCCUGUUCUCGCUCCACAGGCCAUCGAUCGACCCCAGACCACUUCCUAUAGGUUCGCCUCGACCUUGCGCAGCUGCAGGUGGCAGACUUGAACCGCGACACGGCCACCAGCUGCAGCGGGAAGCUCCGCCCGGUUUGAGCUCGUUUUGGUUCCAAGAUUGAUAUCUCAAGCUACCGGUCACCAUUCCUCACCAAAAUUCAUCCUCGAGCUCUCUUCAACCUCCUGAAACUCCCAGAAGUGUCCUUGCACGGCGGCGCUGCGCGUGGUGGCAGCUGGAAGCCAGCCUCGAUCAAAAAUCGAAAUCCGAUCGUGAUAUCUCGAGCUGUAGUGCAUCUUUUUGAUUGAUUAUUGAACCAGUGAGUUCGCCUUGAUGUUAUUAACAACUCUCUAGAAGGAAUCAAGCCCUGAAAUUGAAGUUUUUACGUCGGAAUUCAAGCUCGCCGGAUUCUGGAAAUUUUCCGGCCACCGAAGCUUUCGAUCAAGCUAUCUCGAGCUGUAGAGAUUUUUUUUGAGUGAUUCUUGAACCAGUGAGUUCGACUUGAUGUUCUUAACAACUCUUCAGAAGGAAUCGAGGCCUGAAAUUGAAGUUUUUACGUCGAAAUCAAGCUCGCCGUUUUCUGCAAUUCUCGCCGGUUUCUGGAAAAAUUCCGGCCACCUCGACUGUUUUAGGUGUUUGACGGUUUGAUUUGGCGGACGAAUUGUGAUUCUUAUUCGAGUUGUAAGAAGACGCAGCGGGAUUGUCGAGGUACACUAUUCAAAUUGUGUAGCGGGAAAUUCUACAGGUCAGGAGAAUCGAGAUGGCGAUCAGGCUGCUUAGAGUAAUGGUAUUUGAGUUACAGCUUUAUUGUGAGGUUGUUAUACUCACUGAGCUUACAUUUAAAUUUGGAGAGAGUGUGUUGUAAUAUUAAACUCUUGAGGAUUUGGUUUUUGUGUUAGUGAGUGAGGCAAGGUGAUUAUUUAUGAGAAAAAAAUUCAGAACGUUUAUUUGAUUAAGUUGUUUAUUUCA